ensembl:lncRNA
CCCCCAGCCUGGAGGAAGCCAAGGCAUACUCUCGGAGCCAGCUGGAGGAGCGAGCUGCUCGCUCGGCUGAGUAUGGGAGCAGCCUCCAGAGCAGCCGCUGCGAGAUUGCUGACCUCAACGUGAGCAUCCAGAAGCUCCGGUCCCAGAUUGUCUCCGUCAAGAGCCACUGCCUGAAACUGGAGGAGAACAUCAAGGCAGCCGAGGAGCAAGGCGAGCUGGCCUUCCAGGAUGCCAAAGCCAAGCUGGCCCAGCUGGAGACCGCCCUGCAGCAGGCCAAGCAGGACAUGGCACGGCAGCUGCGUGAAUACCAGGAGCUCAUGAACGUAAAGCUGGCGCUGGACAUUGAGAUCGCCACCUACCACAAGCUGGUGGAGGGCGAGGAGAACAGGAUGGACCUGCCCUCCGCCACCACUGUGGUCAGCACUGUGCAGUCCUGGCCCAGACCCGCCCCUUCCCUGCCCCACCCCUUGUGUCCCCUGUAGCUGCCUCCAAGCCAGGCCUCUCCAAGGCCCCCUCGAGAAGGAAGAAGAAGAACCACAGAGGCCCUGUGAUCCAAACCACAGAAAUGUCAGAGAAGUACCUCUCUCAGGAGUCAGAGGCCUCAGAGUAAUGCAGGAGCCCAGGAGCCCCAGGACACUCCGACUACAGUGGGAGGGACUUAAGCUAGACUCAGAAAAUCACCCCAAAACGUCCAAGUUGGGAGGGGAGACAAAGCCUGAUACAGAACUGAGAGGAGCCGGGGUUCCAAACUGGGACUGCUAUUUUGUGGAUGGCCGGGGAGAGAGGUAAGCGUCACCAGCUCCACUCCAACAUCAUUGUCUCCGUCCUCUCUUCCAACCGGCUGGGUAAACUGGAACUUGGGGAGUCAGUUUGUGUCCACCUCCCCACUCCUCUGAGGCUCUUCCUCCAACACAGGGCUCUCACCAAGGUGCUUCGACUCUUUUGCCCAAUGCUUGCCCUAAACUCCUCCCUCAAGCCUUCCCUUGCCUCUGCCUCAGAACUGGGGCUGGUGCCCGUGCCCCUCCCCAGGCUCUGGGCUGGGCUAGGAGGACCACUCGGGCUCUAUGCUGUGUCUGGACUUCCAGGGGAGGCUGGUGCUGAGGCUUGGCUUUCCUGCCCUUGGGCUCCCCAGGCCCCUGACAGUAUUAGGGAGUAAGGGGAGGUGGGGCCCUGGCCACUGGAGAUCUGAGCCUGGACCUUAGAUCAGCCUGGACAUCUUCGCCCAGGAGAGCACAGUCAGAACCAGGUGCCUCCAGCCAGCCCCCCUCCCCCUCCCUAAGGUUCUCCAGCCACAGUCACCUCCCUGUGCUUCUGGGAUUCAUCAGAGCCUGGGACCUGAGCUCUGUGCCCCCAGCCCAGGUCUCUCCCAGCCUCGACACCUGCCUUUGGUGCACUAGGCCCUCCAGACUCCUAGCCCAUCCUUGUGCUGAAACCCCAGCCCAUUUUCCCUGACUUCCACUUCUCAGGGCCCUGUUCUCCUCCGCACUGCACCACACAGCCUGGCCCCACCCUCUCUGCAUUCACUGAGGAUCCCAGGCUGCCCACCCUAAAGACUUCAUUUUCUCUUCUUCCUCCUCAUAUCCACUCCCCCUGCCUGUAGUGGGCCAUGAGGAAGGCACAGUCCAGGCAGAUCUGGGAGCUUCUGAGCCCUGAUUAGGCUGGGAAGCCCCGGUCGAUCUCCUUAAAAUGGCUCACCCAAAGAGAAAACUUCUAAUUCACCAGGAAGACCUGGGGUUGGUAGGAGUGUUACUGCUCCCCUCUCUGGGGGGAACUGGCAGGUCCAGCCUCAACUCCUCAAGCCACUUCCUCUCGCCCUCUCCCAUUCCCCAACCCACCCCUCUCCUCGCCCCUUUUAGCCUGCCUCUGAUCCCUCCAUCUCAUUUUCCAGGACGGGGUGGGCUAAGGCCUUGGCAGUGCUGAUGGGCCACCAACUCUUUCAGGC